GCCCGCUCAGAAACUUAAAGGAAGUUGACGGGGGCCCGCACAAGCGGUGGAGUAUGUGGUUUAAUUCGAUGCAACGCGAAGAACCUUACCUGGUCUUGACAUCCCGGAGACCCUUAGGAAACUAGGGGGUGCUUCCAUCUGGAAGAAUCUGGAGACAGGUGCUGCAUGGCUGUCGUCAGCUCGUGUCGUGAGAUGUUGGGUUAAGUCCCGCAACGAGCGCAACCCUUGCCUUUAGUUGCCAGCAGUUCGGCUGGGCACUCUAAAGGGACUGCCGGUGUUAAACCGGAGGAAGGUGGGGAUGACGUCAAGUCCUCAUGGCCUUUAUGACCAGGGCUACACACGUACUACAAUGGCCGGUACAAAGGGCAGCGACACUGCGAGGUGAAGCCAAUCCCGUAAAAUCGGUCUCAGUCCGGAUUGGAGUCUGCAACUCGACUCCAUGAAGUUGGAAUCGCUAGUAAUCGUGGAUCAGCCAAGCCGCGGUGAAUACGUUCCCGGGCCUU
rnacentral:rRNA from 1 species